rnacentral:rRNA from 1 species
GGGGAAUAUUGGACAAUGGGCGAAAGCCUGAUCCAGCGACGCCGCGUGAGUGAAGAAGUAUUUCGGUAUGUAAAGCUCUAUCAGCAGGGAAGAAAAUGACGGUACCUGACUAAGAAGCCCCGGCUAACUACGUGCCAGCAGCCGCGGUAAUACGUAGGGGGCAAGCGUUAUCCGGAUUUACUGGGUGUAAAGGGAGCGUAGACGGUUAAGCAAGUCUGAAGUGAAAGCCCGGGGCUCAACCCCGGUACUGCUUUGGAAACUGUUUGACUUGAGUGCAGGAGAGGUAAGUGGAAUUCCUAGUGUAGCGGUGAAAUGCGUAGAUAUUAGGAGGAACACCAGUGGCGAAGGCGGCUUACUGGACUGUAACUGACGUUGAGGCUCGAAAGCG